UUGCGUCCACAUCACAUUGAAGCAUUGGUUCCCGUACGAUCACAGAAGUUAAGCAACGUCGAUCCUGAUCAGUACUUGGAUGUGUGAUCGCUUGGUAAUACCAGGUGAUGUAAG